rnacentral:rRNA from 1 species
CAGGGAAUAUUGCACAAUGGGCGCAAGCCUGAUGCAGCGACGCCGCGUGAGGGAUGAAGGCCUUCGGGUUGUAAACCUCUUUCGGGAGGGAAGAAGCGAAAGUGACGGUACCUCCAGAAGAAGACCCGGCCAACUACGUGCCAGCAGCCGCGGUAAUAA